AGUGAACACUGGCGGCGUGCCUAAUCCAUGCAAGUCAGACGAAGUGGCGCACGGGUGCGUAAUAUCUAGUUAAUCUGCCCUACACAGGGGAACAACAGUUGGAAACGACUGCUAAUACCUCAUAGUGUAGGAUGAGACUAUAUCGUAUCAGCUCGUUGGUAAGGUAAUGGCUUACCAAGGCUAUGCCGCGUAACUGGUUUGGGAGGAUGACCAGUCACAUUGGAACUGGGACACGGUCCAAACGCCUCCGGGAGGCAACAGUAAGUAAUAGGGCGACAAUGUUGAAACCCUGACGCAGCAACGCCGGGUGGAGGAUGAAACUUUUCGGAGCGUAAACUCCUUUUAUCUUGAAAGCGGUACCUGAUGAAUAAGCACCUGCUAACUCCGUGCCAGCCGCCGCGGUAAUUC
rnacentral:rRNA from 1 species